ensembl:lincRNA
AUGCCGGUCAUGCCCAUCCCGCGGCGGGUGCGCUCCUUCCACGGCCCGCACACCACCUGCUUGCACGCAGCCUGCGGACCGCUGAGAACCUCUCACCUGGCUCGCACCAAGUACAACAACUUCGAUGUGUAUGUCAAGACCCGCUGGCUCUACGGCUUUAUACGCUUCCUGCUCUACUUCAGCUGCAGCCUCUUCACAGCGGCCCUUUGGGGCGCGCUGGCCGCGCUCUUCUGCCUGCAGUACCUGGGUGUCCGCGUGCUGCUGCGCUUCCAGCUCAAGCUGUCAGUGCUGCUGCUGCUGCUGGGACGCAGGCGCGUGGACUUCCGCCUCAUGAACGAGCUGCUUAUCUACGGCAUCCAUGUGACCAUGCUGCUGGUUGGGGGGCUGGGCUGGUGCUUCAUGGUCUUUGUGGACAUGUGA